rnacentral:rRNA from 1 species
CCUACGGGAGACAGCAGUGGGGAAUAUUGCACAAUGGGGGAAACCCUGAUGCAGCGACGCCGCGUGAGUGAAGAAGUAAUUCGUUAUGUAAAGCUCUAUCAGCAGGGAAGAAAAUGACGGUAACUGAGUAAGAAGCCCCGGCUAACUACGUGCCAGCAGCCGCGGUAAUACGUAGGGGGCAAGCGUUAUCCGGAUUUACGGGGUGUAAAGGGAGCGUAGACGGCAGUGCAAGUCUGGAGUGAAAGGCGGCGGCUCAACCCGCGGACUGCUCUGGAAACUGUACGGCUGGAGUGCAGGAGAGGUAAGUGGAAUUCCUAGUGGAGCGGUGAAAUGCGUAGAUAUUAGGAGGAACACCAGUGGCGAAGGCGGCUUACUGGACUGUAACUGACGUUGAGGCUCGAAAGCGUGGGGAGCAAACAGGAUUAGAUACCCGAGUAGUC